rnacentral:rRNA from 1 species
AGGUUAAAACUCAAAUGAAUUGACGGGGGCCCGCACAAGCGGUGGAGCAUGUGGUUUAAUUCGAUGCAACGCGAAGAACCUUACCUGGUCUUGACAUCCACAGAACUUUCCAGAGAUGGAUUGGUGCCUUCGGGAACUGUGAGACAGGUGCUGCAUGGCUGUCGUCAGCUCGUGUUGUGAAAUGUUGGGUUAAGUCCCGCAACGAGCGCAACCCUUAUCCUUUGUUGCCAGCGGUUAGGCCGGGAACUCA